AGGAAGAGAACAUGUAAACGUCACUUGGACCCGACCGGGAUAGAAAGAAGAAUUCGACCCAUAUUGGAGAGGGAAACAGAAGUUAAAGAAAAUCAUAGUGUGAGCUGGAGAAUAAAUUUAGAAAAUUAAGAUCAAAAGUAAAGAGAAGGUGAAGAUAUAAGUUCAAGUAGGAAAGAAUAGUGAGCAGAGAUAAUAAGGAAUUAUCAAAGUCUAAAGGUCGCGCAUGGCUACGCACCAGACUAGGAGGAAUUUAAGAGAACACCUAAAUUCUUUGAUCUGCUAACAAGCUGAUACAAAGAGUGUUCUCUCGUGACAAAACCAACAAAAUCAAAGAAUUUAGAGGAUCGAACAUAACCUCAAAGAAUGGAGGAAGAUUUAUCGCAUAGAAAAUGCAUGCUAUGUCAAGAACCGGAUCAUCUUGAUGACAUGGUGCAGUGCGAUACAUGCCAGUUGUGGGCACACUAUUGUUGCGCCGGGGUGCCAUCUAAUAUUAAACACGAAGAUUGGAAUUGUGUUAAGUGUUCCAACCAGUUGCGCUUACCGAAAAAUGCUACGAAGUCCACGAAAAAAUCCGGUGGAUCUAAAAAGGGGAGCCAAAAGUGAAGUGGGAUCUAUCCGUUGCUCAGUAUCGGUGCUCGAAUCAUCAUUUUAACAGUUGGAGGAAGAGCAAGACGCAAUGGAGAAAGGUUUAGAAGCGGAUCGCUUGAUUCGAGAGAAACGUUUGGAAAUGAGCCGUGCAAUUAAAGAGAAACGAAUGCGACAAGAGAAAGAGUUUCGUGAAAGGGAGCUUCAGCAGGAGCGUGAGCUCAGGGCAAAAAAAUUAGCACAAGAGCAAGAAAUUUUAGAAAAACGUCUGAAGGAGGAAUCUGAGUUUUUGAAAAAACAGCAAGCUUUACGUGAGAUGUUUCAUGCGAAGAUGGAUUUACUUAAAAACACCGCGAAUGAAAACACGUCUGGUCGAAAUGAGGAUACGGGCAAUGAUGCCGAUCCAUCGAAAGGAAAAGUUCAAAAUUGGUUGAAUUCAAACGAUCUACAAGGGACGAGUUUACGAUCGUUAGUAGGGGAACAUAGUAAAGCGAAUGAAAAACAAAAGGAAAAAAAAACAGGGAGCUGCUGCAAGAGACAACGUCACGGAAAUUUAGCACAGAAAACGAUGCAGUCACAAGUGAAGAUGGGGAUAGCGAGGACGGUGAUGCUUUUAAUGAACAGAUGAAAGGGAUUGCAGAGCUACUAAAACGUCACGGACCGGGGAGAGGUCAUGGUUUGGGGCGAGGCCACGUGGGACCUACGAAAGAACAAUUGGCUGCCCGGCAGGCAGUAUCAAAAAAUUUACCGAUA